rnacentral:tRNA from 1 species
GCCUGGGUGGCUCAGUGGGUUGAGCGUCUGACUUCAGCUCAGGUCAUGAUCUCGCGGUUCGUGAGUUCGAGCCCCGCGUCGGGCU